rnacentral:lncRNA from 1 species
GGAAAUAUACCAACAGCAAUACCUGCCAGUGACUAUCUCCAAUUCUUCUGAGAUAUUUGGACUCAUAUUUUAUAGACACAGCCUCAUACGGACACGAAAAAAGGGAAGAAACUGAGAGAAGAGGGGGUAAGAUGGAAUAUACUCAGCAAAAGCAUGGCGAGCUGUUUCAGUUUAAAAAUGAUUAUAUUUCCUGGUGGGUAUAUUUCUUCUUUUGUAUGUAAGCUAUCAGCAUCAAGAAUUAUGCAAAAAGGGGAGAACAUUUGAUUAUCUUAUUCAGGGCACUAGUUACUGAAGAUCUGUCUAUCAUGUUUUUUUCAAUCCUUGAUUGCUAAGCCAUUUAUUUCAUCAUGGAUUUCAAAGAAACAGUUCCAUUCCUUGUGUAUAAGGUUCAAGUAAUGCUAUAAUAUUAUUUUGUAUCUUGGAGGGCAGCAUUCCAAUAUUAUAAUAGUUCUCCAACUAGCCCCACAACUAGGUCUAGGAGAGGUCAUCUCAGCCUGCAUUAUAUCUGCCUGAUGGGACUCAUAAUAGACUGCUGACUCAUAUGCACCUCACUUAUUUUGCAGGAAAAAUAAUGAGUUUCUCAGAGAGAAGCAAUACUGCAUUUGAACACUGUAAUAAGGAAUAAGGCACAGAAUAGUAACACUGGAAGGAUCUUGGUGGUGUAGGCAGGUAUAUCCGUAUCCAGAACAAGUCUAUGUUGCAAUAAAGAACCUUCAAUCCUCCACAGGCAGGGAUUCUAUGUAAUCAAAAUCUACAAGGUGUUCGGUCAAUCCGCUAAAUAAUAGUAAUGCAUUAUAAAUUUGGCUUUAGCUCAUGAUGCUGGUAGGUACGUGGUACAACAACUUAUGUUCAGAUGAGGACUGUCUUUGAGAUGUGGGCCCUAACUUUAGUAACCUUGCCACUUUGGUUACUUUUUCCAGAAAUUAUAGGAGAAGUUUGAGAGAUACUCUACAAAAUUGAGGGCAUCAUCAGCUAGAUUCUUUUAAGAGUUCCUUAUGCAACAGGGGCUUGUGCUGAGCAGUGGGAGUUGCUUUUACCAACUACUAAGAAUUUGGACUUACCAAGAGUUAAGAUUCGGGAUAAGGGAGAUGGAACAAAGCAAGAAGAGAAUACAUAGGUAUAGAGAUGCAAACCAUAGCAUGCAAAAAAAAAAAAAGAAGAAGAAGAAGAAGAACAUGAUACCAGAGGAGAAAACACGAGCCUGCCCUGCACCAUUAAGAGUGAGCAGGAGAAGAAGAUUCACACACCUGCCCGGGGCACAGAGGAGACGGUGGGGUAUGGGAGAAACAGAAUGGUUCAUGUCCUGUGGAGAGAGGCAGAUCUGAAGAGGCGAAAGCUCUCAGGACUGGGCUGAGGUGGGUGGCGCUUGCCAUGUGGGGCCAUGGCGAUGUUCAGGCCUGGACUGCUGCUGCCAAGGGCCAUGUCUGGUCCCUUGUCACAGCUGCUGUCCAUGUUGAUGUCAAUGGCUCCUGACACCACUGAAAGCUGAGAGGUUAGGGAUGCACAGAAGCAGCCCCACCCCUCACUGGCUACAACACUAGGGUGAACUGGUCCUGCCCUUCACCAGCUGCAGCACUCCUCCGAGCAGAUCCUGUACCUCACCUGGGCAGAAUGACAGAGAGGAACCUGUUGGCAGGGGCACAGGUGACUACGGAAGGUCUGGCCAAGCCACUCGACUGCCAUAUGGUGAAUGUGGGAGGGAGAGAUGCCCCUCCACCACCCCUCACUACCUUCGGAGGAUGAGACAGCUGGCCCUGAGGUCAUGAAAAUAGGAGAGCUGGCCUGACAUCUCAUAGGCUACAAUACUAGAAAGAGCAGGCCUUGCACCUCACCCUCACAACACAGUAGAGAGGGUGAGCCAUCCCCUAUAUCAUGAGUCUGAGAGAUCCGGCCCCAUCCCUUAUCUGCCAUAUACAGGAGAACUCCCACCAUCUCUUGCUGGCAGGUGAAUAGGGUGAGCUAGCUGGGGUAGUGCUGGUGGUGAAGAUGAGGGAAAACUGACAAGGCAACCAAGCCAGCAAGCACCCAGGCCCAGAACCAGGGCAUUGAGUUGGCUCACCCCUACAUCCAUCCCAUCCAUCCCAUCUUCUGCAGCAUGUGAAGGAGCAGGUCCUUCAGACCCACAGCUGCAGGAUCUCCACACACAGGGCAACAACAGGAUAUUCAAGAGGAGUCCCAGUGAGGGACCAGCAUCGAUAGGAUAGCAGAAGCUAGAGGCCUUGAACCAGACUGACUCAUUGCAAGUAGUGAUAUAUAACUGAAGGUGUGUACUGUGUGACUCACCGUGUCUCAAUACAGCUUCCAUGAUGAGAUAUUUUUUUCUUU